rnacentral:rRNA from 1 species
GAUGAACGCUGGCGGCGUGCCUAAUACAUGCAAGUCGAACGAACAGACGACGAGCUUGCUCCUCACACGUUAGCGGCGGGCGUGUGAGUAACACGUGGAUAACCUACUUAUAAGCCUGGGAUAACUUCGGGAAACCGGAGCUAAUAGCGGAUAACAUGUUGAAGCGUAUGGUUGAGGAGAGAAAUACGGUCUUGCUGUAACUUAUAGACUGUCCCGCGCGGCGUUAGGUAGUUGGUAAGGUAACGGUUUACCAAGGCCACGAUGGGUAGGCGACGGGAGAGAGUGAUCGGCCACACUGGAACUGAGACACGGACCAGACUACUACGGGAGGCAGCAGUAGGGAAUGUGACGCAAUGGGCGGAAGUCUGGCGGAGUAACGGCGAGUGAGUGGAGAAGGUCUUGGGAGCGUAAAGAUCGCUUACGAGGGAAAAACAAAUGUGUAUGGAACUGUGCACCUAUUGACGGUACCUAGUCAGAAAGCCACGGCUAACUACGUG